CGCAAUGAAAUUUAUAUUUACUUUUAGAACAUUAUCCUCCUUGCCGUAGUAUCCGGUUUGGGUUUAUGUUAAACGUAGAAUAAAUAUGUUUUAAUCUAUGAUGUUAGGCAAGCAGUUAUUCCCAUACGUACGCCUACGAUGUGGGUCGCGCAGUACGCAGUGGUGAUGAUCAAAACAAGACCAAAACUUCCAAAAUCUUGGUAUUGGUUUUACGCAAGACUUGUGAGACUUGCUAUCUUCA